AUCAGAUGUGAGCGUCCAUGGUGUAGUGGUUAGCAUUGCUGCCUUCAAGCAGUAGGCACGGGUUCGAUUCCCGUUGGACGCAC
rnacentral:tRNA from 1 species